GCAGAAACUUUUUUGUUGUUUUUGUCGUGACAGGGUUUCUCUGUGUAGCUCUGGCUGUCCUGGACUCGCUUUGUAGAGCAGGCUGGCCUCGAACUCCUGAGACGUGGGGCCGCUAUUGCCUGGCGUGAAGCGGACUUUUAAAAGGUCCUGAUUUCAAUUCCCAGCAACCACAUGGUGGCUCACAACCAUCUAUAGUGAGAUCUGGUGCCCUCUUCCGGCAUGCAGGAAUAGAUGCAG